CAGCAGCCACGGUAAUACAGAGGGUGCGAGCGUUAAUCGGAUUUACUGGGCGUAAAGCGUGCGUAGGCGGCUUCUUAAGUCGGAUGUGAAAUCCCUGAGCUUAACUUAGGAAUUGCAUUCGAUACUGGGAAGCUAGAGUAUGGGAGAGGAUGGUAGAAUUCCAGGUGUAGCGGUGAAAUGCGUAGAGAUCUGGAGGAAUACCGAUGGCGAAGGCAGCCAUCUGGCCUAAUACUGACGCUGAGGUACGAAAGCGUGGGGAGCAAACGGGAUUAGAUACCCCAGUAGUCCCUGUCUCUUAUAC
rnacentral:rRNA from 1 species